rnacentral:rRNA from 1 species
AAAACUCAAAUGAAUUGACGGGGGCCCGCACAGGCGGUGGAGCAUGUGGUUUAAUUCGACGCAACGCGAAGAACCUUACCUGGCCUUGACAUGCAGAGAACUUUCCAGAGAUGGAUUGGUGCCUUUCGGGAACUCUGACACAGGUGCUGCAUGGCCGUCGUCAGCUCGUGUCGUGAGAUGUUGGGUUAAGUCCCGUAACGAGCGCAACCCCUAUCCCUAGUUGCUAGCAGUUCGGCUGAGAACUCUAGGGAGACUGCCGGUGACAAACCGGAGGAAGGUGGGGAUGACGUCAGGUCAUCAUGGCCCUUACGGCCAGGGCUACACACGUGCUACAAUGGUGCGCACAGAGGGCUGCAAACCCGCGAGGGGGAGCCAAUCUCACAAAACGCAUCGUAGUCCGGAUCGCAGUCUGCAACUCGACUGCGUGAAGUCGGAAUCGCUAGUAAUCGUGAAUCAGAGUGUCACGGUGAAUACGUUCCCGGGCCUUGUACACACCGCCCGUCACACCAUGGGAGUGGAUUGCACCAGAAGUGGUUAGUCUAACCUUCGGGAGGACGAUCACCACGGUGUGGUUCAUGACUGGGGUGAAGUCGUAACAAGGUAACCGUA